rnacentral:rRNA from 1 species
UACUAGAGUAGCACUCGCAUAUCAAUAAGCGGAGGAAAAGAAACUAACAAGGAUUCCCCUAGUAACGGCGAGUGAAGCGGGAAGAGCUCAAAUUUGAAAUCUUAAAGGGUUUCCCUUUACGAAUUGUAGUUUAAAGAAGUGUUUUCUGUUGAGGUUUUGGUAAAAGUUCUUUGGAAUAGGACAUCAUAGAGGGUGAGAAUCCCGUAUUUGACCUUUACUUUCAACUUUGUGAUACACUUUCAAAGAGUCGGAUUGUUUGGGAAUGCAGUCCAAAAUGGGUGGUAAAUUUCAUCUAAAGCUAAAUAUUGGCGAGAGACCGAUAGCGAACAAGUACCGUGAGGGAAAGAUGAAAAGAACUUUGAAAAGAGAGUUAAACAGUACGUGAAAUUGUCAAAAGGGAAGCGUUUGACACCAGUGUUGUUUUUCUGAAAAUCAAUUAAAGAACUGUUUAUGCUAAGCUGUUUAGACUUUAUCAGCUAUCUGUUUAGUUUUGAGCUUUUCUUUAAUGCACUUUUCAGUUAACAAGUCAACAUCAAUUUCUUUUGCUGUAAAAAAGCUUGAGGAAGGUGGCUUGAGAUUCGUCUUAAGUGUUUAUAGCCUCUUGCCUAUGCAGUCGGAGAGAUUGAGGUCUGCAGCGUAGAUCCUUCGGGGCUAAAUGCAUUUGUGCUAAGUUAUAGCAUUUUAUAGACAACUUGCUGACUAUGAUUUGUCUUGUAGCUUACUCGCUUAUGUUAUUUUACCUACGCUUAGGAUGUUGAGUAGCGACAUACGCAC